UAGGGAAUCUUCCGCAAUGGGCGAAAGCCUGACGGAGCAACGCCGCGUGAGUGAUGAAGGUCUUCGGAUCGUAAAACUCUGUUAUUAGGGAAGAACAAAUGUGUAAGUAACUAUGCACGUCUUGACGGUACCUAAUCAGAAAGCCACGGCUAACUACGUGCCAGCAGCCGCGGUAAUACGUAGGUGGCAAGCGUUAUCCGGAAUUAUUGGGCGUAAAGCGCGCGUAGGCGGUUUUUUAAGUCUGAUGUGAAAGCCCACGGCUCAACCGUGGAGUGUCAUUGGAAACUGGAAAACUUGAGUGCAGAAGAGGAAAGUGGAAUUCCAUGUGUAGCGGUGAAAUGCGCAGAGAUAUGGAGGAACACCAGUGGCGAAGGCGACUUUCUGGUCUGUAACUGACGCUGAUGUGCGAAAGCGUGGGGAUCAAACAGG
rnacentral:rRNA from 1 species